rnacentral:rRNA from 1 species
CCUACGGGUGGCAGCAGUGGGGAAUAAUGGACAAUGGGGGGAACCCUGAUCCUGCGACGCCGCGUGAGUGAAGAAGUAUUUCGGUAUGGAAAGCUCUAGCAACAGGGAAGCAAGACAUGACGGUACCUGACUAAGAAGCCCCGGCUAACUACGUGCCGGCAGCCGCGGUAAUAAGGAGGGGGCAACCGGUAUCCGGAUUUACUGGGUGUAAAGGGAGCGUAGACGGCGAUGUAAGUCUGAAGUGAAAGGCGGGGGCCCAACCCCCGGACUGCUUUGGAAACUGUAGGGCUGGAGUGCAGGAGAGGUAAGUGGAAUUCCUAGUGUAGCGGUGAAAUGCGUAGAUAUUAGGGGGAACACCAGUGGCGAAGGCGGGUUACUGGACUGUAACUGACGUUGAGGCUCGAAAGCGUGGGGAGCAAACAGGAUUAGAUACCCUAGUAGUC